rnacentral:sRNA from 1 species
UAGAAAAGAUGUGACUGGUAAUUGCUGAUGAUGUGGAAUGUAUCAGCCAUAAUAAAUCAACUACUGAGAUUUUUACUUCUUUUUGCUCGUUAGCAGUGUGUGUGUGUGCAUGUGUGUCUGUUGAAAGAGAGAGAACCAGUCAUCUAU